rnacentral:lncRNA from 1 species
GUCUGUAUGUGCAGAUAUAAACUUAAAAAAAUACACCGCCCCCUUUCCUAGGAAGUUGGUUGGCCGCCACUGCCUCGAGACUAGCGCAGAGAUAAUGCCAGGCCUUCUAAGGCUUCUAAGAAUCAGCCUGUGGUUAUCCAUGACCCUUUCUCCGAAGGGUACUCUUCAAACCAGGUCCAGAGCCCUCUAGGCGACAGGUGGCCUCCGCCCGGGAAGUAAAGCCAGGGAUCCUUGAAGAACCUGUUCAGCCGUUAGGGAGGACUAAUCUGACCACCACUGCUGUGGAGCCCUUAAUGUAGACAGACCUGGCUAGACCUGGCCAUGAGCCCAGUCAGCAAGUACAGAUUCUGGAAUAGUGAGGAGGGGUGCUUCUUGCAGGUGGGAGCAAGCCAGAGCGGUGGUGGCUUGGGAUGUGUUUCUGGAUGAGACACACACAGGGACCGCGGGAGCUCAGAAGGGUGAUAAAAUACCCUUAGCCACAAAUUUGGAAAUAACAGGCCUCAUGCUGCAGGCAGACAGACAUGCACUCCAAAGACACACACACAGGGAAGUACCAUGUGAGAAAUACACAACAUUGCCACAUUCCCAUGAGCUUGUCCUAAACACAUACAGAUAUGUACUGUCACAGAGACUGAAAUCCACUGUCAAGCAGGCAUGCUGCCAGUUAUGUCCCAGCAUGACACCAGAGAUGCAGUUACAGAAAGGCACUCCAGACAGAUUCACAUACACCUACACUGCCAUAUGACAAGGACACAAAAAUGUCCUGUCAGACACACCACCAAAACUUGUCACAAAGAUACUUGUACCAUCAGACAUGCAGUGUCACAGAAAGACUAGUACUAUUCCAGAAAUGAGACCCAAAGUCUGUCACAGGAAGACACACAGACGCUCAAGACACACAUGCACUGCUCCAAAGACAUACAUAUACUUAUGUGAUAGAGCCACAGAUAGGCAGUAUCACAAAAACAGACACGGAUCCACCCAGUCAGUUGCUCGCGCUCUCUCUCUCUCUCUCUCUCACACACACACACACACACACCAGCAGACAUGCAGCACUGUCAAACUAUCCAGAAAUAGCUACCCAGAAUCUGUCACAGGAAUACAAACGGACAUUCAUCCACCCUAUCGGAAAGAAACCACAGAUGCACUGUCACAGACAGACCCACACAGACAUGCACUUGUCUCAGAAACAGACACAAACUGUCAGAGAUUGAGUCCCACACGCAGUCCCCAUCUGACACACCUGAAACAAGCCCUCAUCUCACACACAACUAGAGACACUCUGAGAUGCACAAAGGCUUAG